rnacentral:rRNA from 1 species
GGGUUCGAUUCCGGAGAGGGAGCCUGAGAAACGGCUACCACAUCUAAGGAAGGCAGCAGGCGCGCAAAUUACCCAAUUCUAACAGCAUAAGAGAGGUAGUGACAAGAAAUAACAAUACAAGGCAGUUAAAAUGCUUUGUAAUUGGAAUGAUAGAAAUUUAAACACUUUUUAAAGUAUCAAUUGGAGGGCAAGUCUGGUGCCAGCAGCCGCGGUAAUUCCAGCUCCAAUAGCGUAUAUUAAAAUUGUUGCAGUUAAAAAGCUCGUAGUUGAAUUUCUGCUAAAAAUAACCGGUCUGCUUUUAACAAAAGUGGUAUCUUGGUCUGUUUUUAGCAAUAAUGUCCUUUGAAAUGUGUUUUACUUUGUUGUAAAAGACAAUAUUCAGGAUUUUUACUUUGAGAAAAUUAGAGUGUUUCUAGCAGGCUAAUGUUUUGAAUACUGCAGCAUGGAAUAAUAAAAUAUGAUUUUGGUUCUACAUUGUUGGUUUU